GUGCUCGCUUCAGCAGCACAUAUACUAAAAUUGGAACGACACAGAGAAGAUUAGCAUGGCCCCUGCGCAAGAAUGACACUCAAAUUCAUGAAGCAUUCCAUAUAUAU
ensembl:snRNA Gm22997 predicted gene, 22997